ncrna:Leifsonia xyli subsp. xyli str. CTCB07 Actino-pnp RNA
GCUGGUCCUCGGUGGUGGUAUCCGGAUGCGUUCGCCGUCAGGCAAUCGGCAGCCGUGUAUUUCUACUGAUGGCCAGA